rnacentral:ncRNA from 18 species
UAAAAAAUAGAGGAACGUCGUGGCUCCGGACGAAAACCGGAGAUGAACAAGGGAAUCGGGUGGAAAUCCCGAACGGCACCGCCGCUGUAAGCGCCGAGGCUCCAUCAUGGCAUAGGCCGGUCAUUGGGAAACUGAGAAGGCGAUGGAGACGCAGGAUAAUAUCCAUAAGCGUGAGUCAGAAGACCUACGAGGUUUGUAGUUGGUGCG